GCCAGUGUGGUGUAGUGGUUUGAGUGUUGGACUAUGACUCUGGAGACUAGGGUUCAAUUCCCAGAUUGGUCA
rnacentral:tRNA from 1 species